UGGGAACUGAGCCCUCCCCAGCCCAGUCCACAGGACAGAGAGGAGGAGGCCGCGAGAACUGCUUCCUACAUGUCCCCACCCCUCUCACUGCUGUAGCUUCAGGGCAGAAGAGCCACAGAGCCAAAUGCUGCAGAGAUGAAGGGAGACGGAAAGAGCCAAAUGCUGCAGAGAUCAAGGGAGACGGAAGGAUGUCGCCUCCAGAGCUGGGGCCACGGGCAGCGCCAGGGCAGGUUCAUCACUGAUGGCAAGUCUGUGGCUGACCACGUUCACAGGGGUGGCCCUGAGCAAAGGUCGGACAUGAGGACCCAGGAGAAUUCAGGCCCCGGCUCUGGGACGGCUGUGCACCCCCACCCUGGCCGUGGCUGGCACCUCAGAAGGCACAGCUGUCCUUCACUCGCACGGAGCAACCUCGGGACAGAUGGUGGGAGAGGAAGGGCAACUCGAGGAGGCACAUUUUAGGAAACUGCCCACGGAGCCAGUUUCGAUUCUCCAAACCUCGUCAGCAUGCAGAGGCUCCCUGACUCGGCAGCAAGGAGGGCCUCAUCAGCCGACCCCCAUGCCCGGCACCCCCUUCACCAGGUCCUGAAAACUCCAGAGAGCAGUGCCCUGUGCAUUAAACACAGACUGCGCCCUUGUACUCAGGAGGAUGCAAUUCUCUCUCUAAAGUCGAGAGCUCACCACCCCGGGCGUUCGUCACUGCAGACAUCACUGCAGACACAGAGACGGCCAUUAGAGCUCACCACCCCGGGCGUUCGUCACUGCAGACAUCACUGCAGACACAGAGAAGGCCAUUAGAGCUCACCACCCCGGGCGUUCGUCACUGCAGACAUCACUGCAGACACAGAGACGGCCAUUAUGCAGCCUCACGUGGUCACUCCUGGGGGCGGUAGGAUAUUUUAUCCUAAAGAGAAAACACCUUAAAUUCUCACAUCAGCCACCCCCAUGGCGACUCUUAACACCUUAAUGUAGCACCUUCCAACUUUUCCUGGGCAUUUAUGUACAAAUUGUAAUAAAAUUGGGUUCUUACUGCAUACGCUGCUUGCUGGUUUCUAAAUAAAAUUGGGUUCUUACUAUAUAUGCUGCUUGCUGGUUUUUUAAACCACCUUGUGCUUUCCCACAGUAUUAAAGUUCUUUAAAAAUAUGAUUUUAAACUAUAACUUAGUAUUCUGAAUACAAUACGUUUUACCAUCUUCCUGUUUGGGAGCACAUGGAUUGUUUC
rnacentral:lncRNA from 1 species